GUGCCAGCAGCCGCGGUAAUACAGAGGUCUCAAGCGUUGUUCGGAAUCACUGGGCGUAAAGGGUGCGUAGGCGGCGCAGCAAGUCAGAUGUGAAAUCCGGAGGCUCAACCUCCGAACUGCAUCCGAAACUGCUGUGCUCGAGAUCUGUAGAGGGACUUGGAAUUCUCGGUGUAGCAGUGAAAUGCGUAGAUAUCGAGAAGAACGCUCGUGGCGAAGGCGAAGUCCUGGGCAGAUUCUGACGCUGAGGCACGAAGGCCAGGGGAGCAAACGGGAUUAGAUACCCCCGUAGUCC
rnacentral:rRNA from 1 species